rfam:Schistosoma haematobium scaffold562_10, whole genome shotgun sequence.
GCACUGCUGAGGAGUCCCAUACUAAGACGAAAUGGCCAUCCUGUGC